CGACCGGCGCACGGGUGAGUAACACGUAUGCAACCUGCCUGUAAGCGGGGAAUAACCCGUUGAAAGACGGACUAAUACCGCAUAAUACUAAAUUACUGCAUGGUAAUUUAUUUAAACAUUUAUGGCUUACAGAUGGGCAUGCGCAUGAUUAGCUAGUUGGAGAGGUAACGGCUCCCCAAGGCAACGAUCAUUAGGGGUUCUGAGAGGAAGGUCCCCCCACACUGGUACUGAGACACGGACCAGACUCCUACGGGAGGCAGCAGUGAGGAAUAUUGGUCAAUGGACGAGAGUCUGAACCAGCCAAGUCGCGUGCAGGAAGAAUUGUCCUAUGGAUUGUAAACUGCUUUUGCAGGGGAAUAAAGUGCAUCACGUGUGAUGUUUUGUAUGUACUCUGCGAAUAAGGAUCGGCUAACUCCGUGCCAGCCGCCGC
rnacentral:rRNA from 1 species